rnacentral:rRNA from 1 species
UUGGAGGGCAAGUCUGGUGCCAGCAGCCGCGGUAAUUCCAGCUCCAAUAGCGUAUAUUAAAGUUGUUGCAGUUAAAAAGCUCGUAGUUGAAUUUCGGGAUCAAUACGUCGGUCGUGCCUUCGGUACGCACUGGGGUCGUUGAUUCCUCCCUUCUGAUGAACCAUGAUGUCAUUAAUUUGGUGUCGUGGGGAGUCAGGACUGUUACUUUGAAAAAAUUAGAGUGUUUAAAGCAGGCAAACGCUUGAAUACAUUAGCAUGGAAUAAUGAAAUAGGACGUUCGAACCUAUUUUGUUGGUUUCUAGGUACAACGUAAUGAUUAAUAGGGAUAGUUGGGGGCAUUAGUAUUCAAUUGUCAGAGGUGAAAUUCUUGGAUUUAUUGAAGACUAACUACUGCGAAAGCAUUUGCCAAGGAUGCUUUCAUUAAUCAAGAACGAAAGUUAGGGGAUCGAAGACGAUCAGAUACCGUCGUAGUCUUAACCAUAAACUAUGCCGACUAGGGAUCGGAUGAAGUUAAUUUUUUAAUGACUCAUUCGGCGCCUUACGGGAAAC